rnacentral:lncRNA from 1 species
GUGGUUGUUUCAGAUGGACCCUCUUCCAUCAAUGUGGGUCAAUGUCGGUGGGUCUAGUUAGAUGGAAGAGAUUUAUAGGUGGGAUUUUUUGUGUUGGGGUUUCGGGCUGGAUAGAAGAAGAUGAAGGGGAAAAGAACAAAAAAGAAAAAUCUAAAAGAAAAGAAAAAAAAACAUUUUUUUAUAAAUUACAUGUAGCAAUCAUGUGUUGCAGACCUUCUAAUCCAGUCAGCAUCGUUCAAUGAGAAUCAUUCCAUG